CAUGCUGCCCUGUUCUGAGCCAGCCAUGCUGCCCUGUUCUGAGCCAGCCAUGCUGCCCUGUUCUGAGCCAACUGCAAUUUCCCUAAGUCCCUCUUUGUGGCACCUGACCACACUGCAAGUGAUUGCAUUGUCACACUUAAUCAUACACACACUGCCACUCUGUGUUUCUUAUGGUGAGUUGAAACCUUCCAACUCACCCUGUUGUUUCUUACAACAACGUUUCUUCAACAUGGAAAACAAAACCUACAAGUGAAUGCCUCCAUAUUCACAUUUCAUGGAAUACAUUGCUACAUACUGUAGUGAAGAACUCUCAUUUGAAGUAAACUCAUAACUAGAAUAAUAACAUUGAUUAAAAGCAAAGAUAUUCAAAUAUAAUAAUGGCCUGAAGAUGUUCCACCCCCACCGAAAUCCUUUGACAGGGUCCAAUCACACUGCUUCAUCUUAACCUCGCAGUGACACUUGAUGUAAACUUCAUUGACUUUAACCUGUUCCAUCUGCCUCUCCUUGGAUUGAGAAUAUCGCCCGUGGACACAGUGUAGUUAGUUAGUUGUUACUUUGCCAGUUCUCCAACCCCUCACACACUGACUCAUACAUAAGAACGUAGUCUAAUAUAAAUGCAUUAGGAUGCUUGGAUUCACACCAAGUUCUGCUGUUUAUCUCCCUUCCCUGCUUUUGGAGUUAUAAUGUCAAACCCCUUUCUGACUCAUAAGAAGGUACUGAAAGCAUUUGUAUGCUAAGUACAUGCAGAGUUCUGUUAUUUGGUUAAUUGAGUGCUUUACUUGCAUUCCAUUAACUGUUGCAUUGCAUGAUGGUAGUCUAAAAUACAUGCAGAUUUCUGUUAUUUGGUUUAUGAGUGCUUUACUUACAUUCCAUUAACUGUUGCAUUGCAUGAUGGUAGUCUAAAAUACAUGCAGUAGGAUGCUAGGUUCUUAUUUCCCUAUUUCCGUGUUACUUUCCUUUCUAAAAGAGUAAGAAGGUCCCUAUUAGUUUUGAAACCGACAACCGUUAGAAUAUCAAUCUCAAUGACAACCAUUAGAAUGUCCAUUUCUGGUCUGACUGGUCUUUUUACUGCAUUUGGUUGAUAAUGGCUCCUACUUACAUCCAUUAACUGUUGCAUUAACAUCAUGGAUCAAACAGAUGCUGCAGGGCCUGUAAUUAAUGUCGGAGGCGUCUCUUGGGGCUACCUUGUAAUGGUGGUGAUGUUGGGUCACUACCAGUUAGUAUAAUGCCGUUAAUUGCUCCCAGAAUAAGAUUCUUUAACAUUUUAAAGACAUAAUGGCUGCAUUUUCACAGGCAAGCCAAUUCUGAUUGGUCAAUAGACCAAUUAUUGAAAAAAUGAUCAGAAUUGGGCUGCCUGUGUAAACGCAGCCAUAGUGACUUCAGUGAACUCCUAAGGCUGGCCAUGUUGUGCUGUUGAAACAUAUAAAUAUACAUAUAAAUAUAUGCUUGUUUUUGUGUCAUUUAAUAUUUAUUAUUUUUAAUUAUUAUUUAAUUAGAACAUAAUUGAGUCUUUGCUUUCUAUUUUUUUGUUUUCUCACUUUUUCAGACGAAUGCACAGUGACGAGGUCGUACCUUUUCCUCCACAAGUUCUGGUUCUUCAGUACCAUCUACUACUUUGGUAACUGGGUGUUUAUCGGGGUUUUCCUCAUCGGCCUGUUGGUGUCAUGUUGUAAGGGGAAGAAAUCAGUGAUCGAAGGAGAGGUGGAGGCAGAUGACUCUGACAUGAGUGAAGACGAAUAUGUCCACUGACAAGACCACAGCCUGCCGGACCUGGGUUCAAAUACUAUUUGAAAUGUUUUAAAUACUUUUGAGCAUUUGCUUUAGCCUGCCUGGGAGUGUCGGGUGGGCGGGGUUUGCAUGUUCUGGACUUUUCUAUGGGUUCACCUGCAAAAGGCAAGCUUAAUCAAAUACAAUUGAAGUAUUUUAAAUCAUUUUAAACAGUGUGCCCUAAUGAAUAUGGCCCAGGUCUGCUACCUGCAUGGACCAGGAGACAUUUGAACCGGAUUGGUUUCUGUUACAGCUGGUUUGCUAUAACAUAAGAAUAUGACAUUUGGAUUGUUCAUACAAGGCAGUAAAACUUUAAUUUGAACUGUUGUUUUCUGGUUUCUGCCUGAGAUUGGUUAAUAUUCCACAACGUUGUGUUGAUACUGAUGUAUUAUAACAGGAGAGGGUGAUGGUGAGGUUGCUCUUUUCUAUUAGGGCAACUUUUUGUUUUUUGUUCAGUCAAGUGUCUUUGUUCAAAGCAGUAUGUAAACCCUGAAUGCAUCCCAAAUGGCACCCUAUUUCAAAUAUAGUGCACUUCUUUUGACCAAAGCCCUAUUGGACCCCGGUCAUAAGUAGUGCACUAUAUAGGAUAUAGUGUUCCAUUUGAGAUGCAACCCUCUUUGUGUUACUACGGGUAUGUGCCUGUUGUUUCAAAUGUGAUCUCCACCAAUUCCAUGUUUUAUGUUUCCAAAAAGAAAGAUUUAGUGUUGCAAAAUUCUGGUAUAUUUUCCAAAAUGAGAGGAUUCUGAAUUCCCUGCUUAUUACCCUCACUAUUCUGGGAAUCUUCAAAUGGGGACGAAAAAGACAGAAAAACCAGGUGAAAGUUCCUAACAUUUUCCAACCCUAAGAAAGGUCCCUGGUUGAGAACCAAACGGUGGUACUGGAUGUUUUGGAUCCUGAAAAGACAAGAUGUUGUCGGGGAAACAAUAGUCCAGGAUUACUUUGUUUCUUAUUUAUUUGAACUCAACACAUUUUUGUUGUCAUGUACAUUUCUGUAAUAUAUGGCUGGAUAAAUGUUUAUUUUAGCCUUUAACAGAUGUAUUAUUUUUAAGAUGAGUAACUUAGCACAUUCAGCAUGUUAACUUACAGCAACAAAUAUGGACAUGUAUUUGAGACCAUAUUGAUAAUGCACAUUGCUGAGUUAAAAUAUAUAUUCUCUUAUCCCUGAUUUUGGUUGUGUUUGGUUGGUCUUAGCUUGACUAACUGUUAUUGCGUUAAUGAAUUGAUUUGCUGUAAAGUUAUCUGAACAUGAACCGAGCAUAAUAUCACUUGACUACUGAUCACGAUAUCAAUUUACUUUAUGAAUUUGGAAUAAAAUAUGAAUUCUGAAUUGA